UGCUCUGUGGUGUAGUGGUAGCACGCUCACCCAUCAAGUGAGAGGUCUGGGUUCGAAUCGCGGCAGAGCAA